UCUGCCUUUUAUGCCCCUCACCUCAAUGGGUAACUGAUACUCACUAACUUUGCUGCUUAUGCCUCUAAACAUUGUAUUUGCUUAUCUAGAAGAAACAUUUGCUUGAGUUUAUUUUUGUUGGCAUUCAUAUGCUAGACUUCUGAUAAAGCUGUUUAACACUACAUAUCUUUGAACCAAGGUAUAGAAGCUCAUAUUUUAAUUGUUUUCAAAUCAGUGUGUGGAGCAGGGGUUUGACCCAUGUUCCGUAGGUCGAAUUUUGUUGAAAUACAGAUUUCUAGUACCAAUCCUCUGAAUAUCAGUUAUUCUAGCUCCAGCAAAAUGGUUGCUAAAAUAUUUAAUGAAUUUGUUAAAACUAGUACUUCUGUUGCAGGGUGGUGCUCCAUUGGUUCUUGUUGUGUUCACAGGUAACUGUUUUUAAGCAGUUUGGAAGAAAAUUAACUGCUCUUAAUGAUAGGUUGAUUGGUAUCAAAGUAGGUGAUGUCUGAUAAGGCUCAAGAAUUUUGGGUUACCUAUAUUCCCAUCCAUUUGGUUUGUAAUGCAUGUUCAUGUAAUAGUUGCCUUUCUCCAGCUAUGUGAGGGAAGGACUUGUCCUUGGCCAACUCCUGGGAAAUCAAUUUACUGUAACAUUGAGAGGAGUUGUUGCAGAUUCUGAAGAUACGAUUAAAACAUCUGCAAUUGCCUUCGGAAAGCAAGGAUUUAUUAACUACUUUGGUUUACAAGUACUCUCUCUCUCUCCCCACACCCCCCCUGAUUAUUUGUGUUGUUUCUUAUACUAUUUAUUUGCAUAAUCGUGUACUUAAAAGGCUAGAUGUUAUUGACAUUGUUUAUCUUGUUCCUUUUUUUUGCAAUAAGAGGUUUCUUGUUCUUACAAUUGCAAUGAUACUACAAAGCUAUUAAAAGACGACAGUUCUGUUGCAAAAGACUAGCUGGUCUUUUUUUACCCAGAAGAUUUCUUUUGAAAAAAAAGAUGGUUUUUCGAAUAUGCGAUGGAUUAAAGUUUUUCGAAUAUGCGAUGGAUUAAAGUUUGCUUGAUGGUUUAUCAAACUGCAUUCUGAUUUCAGCGGUUGGCAACUGGUUCUCUGCCAACUUACCUCCUUGGAGCUGUAGUACUCAGAGAAGAGUGGAAAUCUACUCUGAGCGUGAUUCUUGAUCCAAGAGAAGAGGAUAUACUUUUAAUGUUUUCAUGUGUUGUGACUUGUGAGGAUACUUUUUCUUUUCUUUAUGUACUUGAUUACUUCUAAAUAAAGUAGUUUAUUGCAUGCUGAUGUAGUGCAGCAUUAGUAUUUAUUUUGUGGAACUUACUCUUUUAUUACCAAAAAAAUCCGAUUACUGUGGCAAAAGAAUAAACUAAUGAUAUUGAAGGGACCCUGAGGCAGUUACCCCGACAUUUGGUUGCUGAAAGAGUUAUAGUGCAAGGUCUGAAGAAAUGUCCUGGGAACUACUUGCAGGCUUUGAAAGCUAUUACUAGAACUUUGAGGAUGAUGGGUAUAUGCUUCUUGUUUCAUGAGGGGUGCGCUCAGGAGCUUGGCAGUGAAGAUUUCUCUUUGAGGAAACAGGUCUUUUUCAUAUCAUUCAGUUUUAAGAUAUGAAGAGUAGUGUUACUUGUCGUUAUCUUAUGGAUCUCUAUAUUUGCACCAAGGCUAUCGUUGUUUGACAAUUGUGACUGUGUACUGGUUUGUUGACUGUGACCAUCUUUUACAUUCCGGAUUUCAGUAAUUUAUUAUUUUUUGGGUUUUCUGGCCGUCCAAUGCUAAAAUAAGAAAAGAAAAGAAAAGCUAUAAUUCCUCAUACUGUAUAACUUGCAGCAGCGAGAAUAAUUUUGAUGAGGGGAGCCCUGUUUCUGUUGCAUUGCUUUGAUUAGGGAUAUCUGGUCUAAUCAUUUUGCAACUACGCUUCCCAUACUGCUGAAAGUUUCAACGAUCCAGGCAAGCCUUGUGCAGUGCCCUUGAAGAUGAACCUGAGUUUCAUGGAAUGGUAUGCUUGAGCUUGCAAGAGUCUUGUACAACAAAAUAAGAAAAUUGUGGAAGAAGUGAAUGAUCUGUCUGAUAGUGAAGUACAUAGUGCCAGACAGAGACUUAGGUUACAGUAGAUAACUUAAGCGUGCUCAUGUCAUCUGCUCGCCAGUUACUAACAAGUGUUUUCUUGAAUACCACAAAAGAUGAUGCAGGCUGUUUAAGCACACUGAGGUUGUAUGUCUGAUAGUCUUUGUCCUGCAAAAUGCUUGAAUUGGCAUGUAUUUUAAAAUAGUCAUGAAUUUGUGAGUUUGCUAAAUACAGCUCCAAUAAGAAUGAUGCAUAUCGUUGUUAAAACCAAAAAGACACAAUCUUGUAUUCGAGAAAGAG